rnacentral:rRNA from 1 species
UGGGGAAUAUUGGACAAUGGGCGCAAGCCUGAUCCAGCCAUGCCGCGUGAGUGAUGAAGGCCCUAGGGUUGUAAAGCUCUUUCACCGGUGAAGAUAAUGACGGUAACCGGAGAAGAAGCCCCGGCUAACUUCGUGCCAGCAGCCGCGGUAAUACGAAGGGGGCUAGCGUUGUUCGGAUUUACUGGGCGUAAAGCGCACGUAGGCGGACUUUUAAGUCAGGGGUGAAAUCCCGGGGCUCAACCCCGGAACUGCCUUGAUACUGGGAAGUCUUGAGUAUGGUAGAGGUGAGUGGAAUUCCGAGUGGUAGAGGUGAAAUUCGUAGAUAUUCGGAGGAACACCAGUGGCGAAGGCGGCUCACUGGACCAUUACUGACGCUGAGGUGCGAAAGCGUGGGGAGCAAACAGGAUUAGAUACCCCUGGUAGUCCACGCCGUAAACGAUGAAUGUUAGCCGUUGGGGAGUUUUACUCUUCGGUGGCGCAGCUAACGCAUUAAACAUUCCGCCUGGGGGAGUACGGUCGCAA